UAUCAAACACUUAACUCUGUGAAUCGAGUGUUUUGGAGAUCGGAAGAAAAACAAAAUGACAAACCUCGAGGUAUUCCAGCUCAAGCUGUAGAAAAAAAAGGAAGUUUUUGAGCUUGGAAAAACGAGAAUUUCUUCAUACCUUCUGCUAUAAGUUUUGGAUGAAACUGGACUUCCCGGAACAGUGGUAGUUUGCAAGCUUAAUUUGUUCUUGAGGUCCUCCGGCAAUGCCUGUUUGGACGAUCGAGAUGAGAAGAACACGUCGAUUCUUUUCCAUACCACUACUUCGGCAGUGAGUUUCUCCAGUUGUAUUUGUUCUAUAUAAGAUCGUGGAAUGUACGAGCCUUCGAGCCCCAGCUUCUUCCCGAUAUCCGCGACGAGCGAUCUAUCUUUGCCUUGUAUCUGUCAAAACUUGGUGAGAUACAAAAACCUCAAGAACAAAAAAGCUAAGAAAGGAUCUACCUGGACAUACUUUCGCUGGACUUGCUCGAGCUUGUCAAUCUUGACGACGAUCUUCUCAGUCUCGUCACAAAACACCCGGCUCGACCGCUUCAUAAUGGUGGCCAUCUCGUAUCCAAGAGCCAUGAGGCCUCCCAAGAGCCUCACGCUCACGUCAAAAGUGAUCCUUGGCGAGAUGAUAAAAUCCUCAUCGGUCACAAGUUCCUAGAGAAAAAUGAGAAACAUGGUCAUGGUAAGUGACAAAGAUAGAUCUUGGAUGGAGCAUUUUUUCUAAAAGACCUCGAAGAUCAAACUGUAUCUUCCAUCGCGAUUUCUCAUGCGAAGAUAAGACUGGCAAGUUUCCGGGUCUUCGCCUGGAGGCAAGAGAUAGAUAUCGUAAGUAUCUUCUGUUGCUUCAGUGAACUUGGAGCCAAUGACAGCUUUGAUCUCUUCUUCCGUGACAUGACGAGAAGACUGGAGCAUCGAAAACUUUGAAUCAGAAAAAGAAAAGAAAGAACGAAGGAAAUCUCCAAAACCUUUAGGAUGUAAGUUGGACUCUGAAAUCCCGAGAAAGGAUUAAACUUGUUGACUACUUUGAUGUGUGCUGUUGCUAGAUCCGGCUCUAUGAACACCUUGUACAUGGGAUAAACCUGGCAACGACACAAAGUUAAGUGCGAAAAACAACAAAGAGAUGAAAAAGAGAGAAUUAUGAAACUACUGCUGUUCACAAGAACAUACAAAAUCACCGUUUCUGAAAUCUGGUGGAUGAUGUCUUCCGGAGCUUGGCCGGAGCGAUUGAUGUCACGGAGAACCCGCUUGACGAGAUCAAAAUGGACUCCUCCGGUUAUAGAGACUCGCAGAUCCAGGAAUGGACGUAGCUUCUCACACAAAGCAUAUAUCCCUUCCACGAUCACAAUUCUCGUCGAUGGAUGCUCCAGACGCCUGGAAACAACGCAAGAACAUACUUGGUCCUUGAUCCCAAUGCGAGCAAAAAGGAAGGAAAGACAACUCACCUAUAGCCAACUCGACGACUGAGCUUGAAGUCAUAUAUCGGAAUGUCGGCAGAGGUCCCAGCUCUCAAGCUCUUGAUGUUGUCUAGAAGAAUUUCGUAGUCCACGAUCCUGGGAUCUAUCAGCACGAAACCAAAACAACCAAAACUAUCGAAUAGAAACGAAAGAACAAAGAACAACACACACCUUGUUUGGAUUCUUACCAUCGUAAUUCCCGUCGAUGACAAGGCUGGAAUCGUUGUAGUUGUCCAUGCAAAUGAUCGCAAUCCCGGGCAAGAAGCUCGCGACCUUGUCCGUGAAGACGGUCUUACCAGCGCCCGAGGGGCCGGCAACUCCCACCACAAUUGUCACUCCUUCCAUCGUGCGCGUGAGGAGCUGACACGCCCGGAUGAAGAGAAAGAAGCCCUUGUCGAACGAGAGGGGGUCGGAGAUUGGCGCAAUCUCGUAGCGAUCCUCGCGGCCGCCAUCGCCCUUCCUCGGCACCAGUUGGAGUUGAUCCUUGAGAAGCCCAGUCCGGCGAUGCGGGCUUGGCAGGAGCUUUCUCAUCGACGAUUCCAUCCUGAAACUACUUCGAGCCCUAGUGAAGAACUGGAAGAAUCUCAGUCAAACAUUAGUCAAAGCUUUAGUCAAAGUUCUAGUCAAAGAAGCAAUGUCAAAGUUAGAAUUCUUCCUCCUAGAUCUCAUCGGCGAGUAGGAACCCUACUUCAUUCCUAGAGGAUGAGCACUGGAUACGAGCAAGCCCAGGUAGUCUGGAACAAAGACAACGCUAUAGCUGGUAAUCUAUAUACUAGUUCCCAAACUUAUCGACUGGAAACGCUCGAGUUUAGCAAGCUCACAGAGAUUGGCGCUGGCGGCUGUGGCAGCAUCUUCAAAGGUACCAUCACUCGCAGCUAUGGCGUCCAGCACAAGCUCUACAGAGGCGUGUGGGACUUCGAAGGCGACCCUUUCGACUCGUAUAACUACUACAACUCCUCCAGCAGCGGAUCAAAUCCCAGCGAGGGAGACAACGAAACAGUGAGCGUGGCUGUCAAGACGAUUCACAGCAGCGAUGAUGACGUGAUAGAUCUCACCAGGGAAGCGAGCAGCCUGCGGAUCCUGCAAGGAACCAGGAACGUUGCAAGCGUUUAUGGUGUGACACGCAACCGGGAAAUGCAAAGCGUUUGCAUUGUCAUGGAGCUCGUCCAAGGUCCCGACUUGAAUUCUUUCCUGAGAUCCGGGAAGCCAUCGUCGUGUUCUUGGUCUUGGUGGAAGACAAAGCUGGAGAUCUUCAUGGAGCUCGUGAUUGGGCUCUCGGUUUGUCACCAGCGGGGUAUUUAUCACGGGGAUUUGAAAGGCAAGAACGUGCUGGUCGACGAGUUCAUGGUUCCCAAGCUGAUAGAUUUUGGGUUUAGUUUCCGGAAGAAAGAUGUCGACUACUUGAGGUCACUAGGAGGAUCACCGUUUUGGAUCUCCCCAGAGCUGGACGAGGCGGUAGACGAGAUCCCUCCGGAAGUUCUUGCGAAUCCAUUCCCUUCGGAUGUCUACUCGCUGGGGAUGGUUCUGGUGGAAAUGAUUAUAGAUGGUGAGAUACCCGAGUACAUUGACUCGGUCUUGGUGAUGAACAAGUAUAUGGGAGGGUCUCCUAUAGAGCUCCAAGUUCCAGAAGGCAUGGAGGAUCUAAAAGAGAGCGUUUUCGAUGAGAUCUUUGCCGUGGUCGAUGGAUGCUGCUCUGCGGAGCGUGACGACAGGAUUUCUCUAAAGGAAUGCCUAGUACACAUCCGAGCAGCUUAUAGCAACCUUUGCAGCAGUUGCAAAGUCAGUUCUUCCAGCUGGGAUGAGGAAUUUACGAGUUCCAAGGAUUAUACAGACAUGCUAGCUGUUCUUCAAGCGCGGUUUCCCGAAGUUCCAGACGCCAUAGCUCGGCAACCAGCCAAGAACAUGAUGGUGGACAUUCAGGGAACUUUGCUGGUGGAUCUCUUCUGCCAGCUGGAUUUCAAGCUGGGUGUAGAGUUCGUCAUUGACAAGGCAGCCUGGGACUUUGAUCCGAAGAAGGCAGUGCCUCGACUAUGCCACAUCUGCGUCAAAGCAGGGAGCCAUGGAGUGCUGAAAUUUCUGGGCGAAAGGUGGCGAGCUAUAGUUGCGCAGGAAGAAUGGCUGAUGCACGACGCAUGCGAGGGUGAUAGCUUGGAAGUCUUGCAAGUUCUUCUCGAGGAUAUUAACAUGGAGUUCGAUACCUGGCCGAGGAGCGGACAGCUUAAGCCGUUUCACAAGUUGGCAUUCCACGGAAAGAUGGAGAUGAUGAAGCUUUUGCUAGACAAGGCAAGCACGAUCGGUGACUACGUGAAUGCUACAGUAAACAGGAAAUCAUCUGUAGCAGCGAGACCCCUCAACUAUGCCAUCCAAGGAGAUAAAGUCGAAGCGGUGUUCUUCCUCAUCGAGCAUGGGGGUGUUGUGACGACGCCACGCGAUUAUCUCGACACCACAGAUUAUCUCGAGCAGCUUUUCUACUGUGCUGUGCAUGAUGGGAGCUUGAGCGUUGCAACGAGCCUUCUCGAGAUAAGCUACUUCCUCAAGACAGGCAAUGGCGGAAGUAUGAAACAGAUCUCUUCCAAAGUCUUGGAACGAUUUGAGAAUCACGAAUUUGGCUGCCUUGAUUACUUCGGGCACGAGUUCCGGGACCAUGAAUACGUGCUGGCACUUUUGAGAGGUCACUUGGUGGAGUCUGGGCUUCGUGGAAUGGAGCCUCUGAGGUUUGCUUGCUCUAAGGAAGGGAAUGCACACAGCCAGGAGGUAUUUCAAAUGAUGGUUUCGUUUUGCAACGACGAUAGUAGUGUUUUAGAGGACAAAUUGUGGAAGCUCUUAGGGGGUCAUGGGAGUAAGGAAAUGGCUGCGUAUGCAAUGGAGAAGAUUAGCCGAAGCGGCCAUGAGCAGAUUUUAGAGGCUGCUAUAGACCAAGGAAAUUUGGAGGUCGUGGACUUUCUCAAAGCAGCAGAAAAGUCAAGAGAUGGCGAGGAAAGUGACCAAGUAAAAGACGAAGGUGAUGGGAAAGAAGAUGAAGAAUUGGAUGAUUCAGAACUGUCAUCAAGCUCGGAAGAGCCAAAGAUCAAUGAGGAGCUUCCUGAUCUCGAUGACGAUUCAGAUGGUGAAGUCAUACCUAAGAAAGACCGACAAGCUUAUCUUCUCUACGACGUUUGCGAGGCUGUAGUACAGGCUGAUAUUGGUUUACUCAAGAGAAAGCUCCCAAAGCUUUGCUUAGAUGGUAGGAGUUUUGUGGAAGAAUCAUGGGAACCAGGCAUAGGGAUGAUCCAAAAGGUUGAAGAUAUCACCAAGAAAGCAGGGAUCUGGAAAACUUUGGCACCAGAGCUUUUGAAAAGAUUUGCUUAUGCUGGGAGCUCGGAAAUGGUAUUACAUUUGCUGGAGAAAGGUGUUCCGGUAGAUGGCCCGGACUACACACAAGGAUGGAUCACACAAACACCGCUAAUGAUAGCUCUUUCCGGGAGCCACUUUGAGACUGCUGAGAUCAUUUUGUUGGCCGGUGCUAAUCCAAACACAAGAAGGAAAGCAGGAUACUCAAGCAUGGAUAUUGCCUUGGGCAUGAACAACAGAAAGAUGGUGAGGUUGCUUAUCAGGUUUGGGUUUGACACGGGGUCCAAGAACAGGGACAAUGAAACUUACAUGGACUUGAUAGCUCAUCUUGAAGACUAGCCGUGGAAGAACCUCUGAAACCAGUCAAAACAAGUCAAAGAGGUCAAUCAGCCCAUGCACAGGAUGUUCGAGACGAGGAUGUGCCCCGUUGCGUUGCUGGGAUCCAACCCAAGCGCGAGCUUCGAUCCGCGGAAGCGGGAGCUAUGGCUGCUGCAAGCUCCCGCAAAGCCAAUCCAAUCCGAUGCCUCGGCGGUGAAAGGCAUGGAUUCCAUGAGCUCGCGCGCGUCUUGGAGAUAUCCAGUCCGUCCCAGGAGAUCCACCAUGCAGCUGUAGUGGAGCUUGGUUGGAGGCACUCCAUAGUCACAGCUCAUCAACGCCAAGUAGCUCCUUGCUCGAGAAACCUUCCCGCCAUGGCUGCACGAAACCAGCGCUGCCGUGAAGCAGAACUCGUCUGGAUUGUCGGUGAGUUUGAGCUCGUCAAGCAUCCCUCUGGUUUUGGUUUGCUUCUCGCUGUCUUGGGCAAACAUUGCGAGCAUUGCAUUCCAUGCAAACAGGUCUCGCUGUGGUGUCUCUUGGAAGAUCUUGUAAGCGGCAUCAAGGUUUCCAGUUUGAGCAUAACCAACCAUGAUUGACGUCCUUCCUACUGGAUAUUGGAAAGGCAGUGAAUCAAAAACCGCCCUCGCCUCUGCAAGAUACCCUUCUUGGGCAUAUGCUGUGAUCAUGGAAGACCAAGAAGAUGCAUCUCUCUGCGGCAUAUUAUCAUACACGAACUUACCCUCCUCCAAUUUCCGAAAAUUCAUGCAAAUGGCGAGAUAAGUGUUCCAAGACACUAUGUCCGUCUGCGGCAUGUCGGAAAAAAUCUGUUGCACAUACAAAAAUGCCCUUCUUGGGCAUAUAGCAAAAGCAUUAUAUUACAGGAAUUAAUGUCCCACUCCACGAUAGUCCUAACAAAUGUCCUUGCGUUCUCAACAUCAUGAUUUUGGCAAUACACAGCGAGGAGACAAUUCCAAGCUAUCACAUCCAACUGGGGCAUGGCACUAAAUAUUCUUUCGGCUUCUGCCAGAUACCCACUCCCGGCAUUUGCUGCAAGCAUAGAGGUCCAGGAGAUCAAAUUCCUCUGCGGCAUCUCAUCAACCACUCGCCUAGCCGUGUUGUAACACCCGCUUUGCGAGUACGUGACAAGAAUCGAUGUCCAGGAAACCAAGUUCUGCUCGGGCAUCUCAUUAAAAAGCCUCUAAGAACCAUCCAGAUGCCCAUUCGAGGCAUACGACGCCACGAUAGCAUUCCAUGCGAAGAUGGAUCUGGAGCUCUCGAGCCAACCACUCCUCGCAUACGCCGUGAUCAUGAGAACCCAGGAGAAGAGGUUCUUAGCACGCAUCGAUUCGAAGACCACCUGCGCGUCAAUCGGUCAAUCACCGGAGCGCCCAAACAUCUCGAUCACCCGGUUGCGCGCGUAGAGACCGUCGGGCGACACCACCGAAUCAAACACUUAACUCUGUGAAUCGAGUGUUUUGGAGAUCGGAAGAAAAACAAAAUGACAAACCUCGAGGUAUUCCAGCUCAAGCUGUAGAAAAAAAGGAAGUUUUUGAGCUUGGAAAAACGAGAAUUUCUUCAUACCUUCUGCUAUAAGUUUUGGAUGAAACUGGACUUACCGGAACAGUGGUAGUUUACAGGCUUAAUUUGUUCUUGAGGUCCUCCGGCAAUGCCUGUUUGGACGAUCGAGAUGAGAAGAACACGUCGAUUCUUUUCCAUACC
rnacentral:lncRNA from 1 species